rnacentral:misc_RNA from 1 species
GAACGCACCUUGCGCCCUUUGGCUAUUCUGAAGGGCAUGCCUGUUUGAGUAUCAUGAACACCUCAACUCUCAUGGUUCGCCAUGAUGAGCUUGGACUUUGGGGGUCUUGCUGGCCUACGGUCGGCUCCUCUCAAAUGAAUCAGCUUGCCAGUGUUUGGUGGCAUCACGGGUGUGAUAACUAUCUACGCUUGUGGUUUCCCGCCAGGUAACCUUCAGUGAUGGAGGUUCGCUGGGGCUCAUAAAUGUCCCUCCACAGUGAGGACAGCUUUUGAACGUUUGAUCUCAAAUCAGGUAGGACUACCCGCUGAACUUA